GCACGCCUAGCUCAGUUGGUUAGAGCACCUCGUUUACACCGAGGGGGUCGAGGGUUCGAAUCCCCCGGCGUGUACCA
rnacentral:tRNA from 1 species